UUUGUUUGAAUGUUAAAUGUUAUUUAUUUACAUUUUGCGAUAAAAUCCGUGUAGUCAAACUCCGCUUGCACUCUUCGGUAAACAUCUCUGUAGUAUUCACCACGGUAACUCAACCUGUUUUGGACCGAUUGCGUUAAGACCCGGAGAGAGACUCUUGAGAGAGAUGAGCCGAUAUUGAACUACCUCAGUGAGAGAACACCACAGCUAGACCCGAGAACACAGUGGCUAAAAAGGGAUGGGGAGUUCGCUACUUCUGUCGCACGCAGUUACCCAGAGAGCAUCUCAAGGAAUGACGUAAUUCCGGUCAAACCGCUUGAGCGUCCGUUGCGACCUUCCCUAUUCUGAGGACUCCAGGGCUCGUUCACUUUGUCCCCAGCUAUCAACGAGAGUGGAAGUGCGCGUUUUGUACCGCGAGUUUUUUGGCUUUUUGUACAAAAUUUUCCCGUAUAGUUAUUUUGUGUGUGCGCUAGCUAAAGUAAUUUGUCGUGUGCGAACAGGAGCUAGAAGGAGAAAAGGAGUUCGCCCGUUAGCAACAGCGCUAACCAUCCCGCAGCAGCACCAGUCCAGCAGCAGCGCGAACACACGAGCAGCAGAGCAGAGGAAAACGGAGACGAAGUUCCCCGCGCACCGUACUUCUCGUUGUCGCCGCACGUCACCAGGCGAAGCACGAGGACGAAGAGCGUGAGCGCACGCUAGGCGGCGAUCCGUCACCACAUCGCCCGGUGAAGUAGGGAGGGUCCCUGAACCACCACACGAGGACAGCGGAGAACGUUAGUCCCGGCCGGAGUCAACCCUAAGGCCGGAGCUUCCUGUCCGGUUGCGAGCACCUGACAGCCGCGGAACCGGGAAAAGUCCAGAACCGGCCCGAGCCACCCCGUAAGGCCGAGUCCCGCAUUCCGGUCAGCUGUUCAUCAGCUGACGGCCACGUGUCGUCCCUGAGCUGAGCAACCAGCCCAAGUAGCAGAGAACAACAGCAGCAACAAGAUCAUCAUUCGGUGAGUCCGUUCUAUUUGCACUUGUGGGAAGAAGCACGUCCCUAGCUGACGUAGCGAAGUUUUUGCCGGCCUAGUGCCGAGGCGGCAGACGCGAAUCCGCCGUUGACGGACGCGUCCAAAGUUUGAGGAGCGAACU